GAUGAACGCUGGCGGCGUGCUUAACACAUGCAAGUCGAACGAAGAAGCCCAGCUUGCUGGGUGGAUUAGUGGCGAACGGGUGAGUAACACGUGAGUAACCUGCCCUUUACUCUGGGAUAAGCCUGGGAAACUGGGUCUAAUACUGGAUAUGACUUCUCAUCGCAUGGUGGGGGGUGGAAAGAUUUAUUGGUCUUGGAUGGACUCGCGGCCUAUCAGCUUGUUGGUGAGGUAAUGGCUCACCAAGGCGACGACGGGUAGCCGGCCUGAGAGGGUGACCGGCCACACUGGGACUGAGACACGGCCCAGACUCCUACGGGAGGCAGCAGUGGGGAAUAUUGCACAAUGGGCGCAAGCCUGAUGCAGCGACGCCGCGUGAGGGAUGACGGCCUUCGGAUUGUAAACCUCUUUCAGUAGGGAAGAAGCGAGAGUGACGGUACCUGCAGAAGAAGCGCCGGCUAACUACGUG
rnacentral:rRNA from 1 species